rnacentral:rRNA from 1 species
CGGGGAGUAACCUAUACGAAAGAAUGGACUAAUACCGCAUACGCUCUACGGAGGAAAGCGGGGGUUCUUGGGCAACUGAGGACCUCGCACUAUAGGAGCGGCCGAUAUCGGAUUAGCUAGUUGGCGGGGUAAAAGCCCACCAAGGCGACGAUCCGUAGCUGGUCUGAGAGGAUGAUCAGCCACACUGGAACUGAGACACGGUCCAG